rnacentral:rRNA from 1 species
GUCCACGCCCUAAACGAUGUCAACUGGUUGUUGGACGGCUUGCUGUUCAGUAACGAAGCUAACGCGUGAAGUUGACCGCCUGGGGAGUACGGCCGCAAGGUUGAAACUCAAAGGAAAUUGACGGGGGACCCGGCCACAAGCGGUGGGAUGAUGUGGGUUUUAAUUUCGAUGCAACGCGAAAACCUUAACCUUACCCUUGACAUGUCAAGAAAUCUUGCAGAGAUGUGAGAGUGCUCGAAAGAGAACUUGAACACAGGUGCUGCAUGGCCGUCGU